CGUGUGCGAAGAAGGCCUUCGGGUUGUAAAGCACUUUUCGGGAGGAAGAGGAAGGACUGUACUCCCGGAAUAAGUCUCGGCUAACUACGUGCCAGCAGCCGCGGUAAUACGUAGGAGGCGAACGUUAUCCGGAUUUAUUGGGCGUAAAGCGCGUGUAGGCGGUUUGAUAAGUUGGACGUGAAAGCUCCUGGCUCAACUAGGAGAGGUCGUUCAAUACUGUUAGACUUGAGGACGGUAGAGGGAGGUGGAAUUCCAGGUGUAGUGGUGAAAUGCGCAGAUAUCUGGAGGAACACCAGUGGCGAAGGCGGCCUCCUGGACCGUUCCUGACGCUCAGACGCGAAAGCUAGGGUAGCAAACGGGAUUAGAGACCCCGGUAGUCCUAGCUGUAAACGAUGUGAACUUGGCGUCGGUGGGAUUAAAUCCAUCGGUGUCGAAGCUAACGCGAUAAGUUCACCGCCUGAGGACU
rnacentral:rRNA from 1 species